AACUGAAACAUCUAAGUACCCGAAGGAAGAGAAAGAAAUUCGAUUCCGCUAGUAGCGGCGAGCGAACGCGGAACAGCCCAAACCUAAGAAGUUCGCUUCUUAGGGGUUGCGGACAUAUCAUCAGGAAGAGGUUAUUACAGACGAAGAGUUUUGGAAAGCUCCGCCACAGAAGGUAACAGCCCUGUAGUCGAAGUGAGAAGACUUCCGAUAUGAUCCAGAGUACCACGGGACACGUGAAACCCCGUGGGAAGCAGGAG
rnacentral:rRNA from 1 species